rnacentral:tRNA from 1 species
GUGUGGCUCAGUGGUAGAGCACUUGCUUAUCAUUCAAGAAGCUCUGGGUUCAAUCCCUGGCAC